GGGGCUGUAGCUCAGUGGCAGAGUGCAUGCCUAGCACAUAUGAGCCACUGGGUUCAACCCUUAGCACCA
rnacentral:tRNA from 1 species